rnacentral:rRNA from 1 species
UACGUAGGGGGCGAGCGUUGUCCGGAUUUAUUGGGCGUAAAGAGCUCGUAGGCGGUUGCGGAAGUCGGAUGUGAAAUACCGGGGCUCAACUCCGGGGCGCCAUUCGAUACUCCGCUGACUUGAGUCCGGUAGGGGAAGGUGGAAUUCCUGGUGUAGCGGUGAAAUGCGCAGAUAUCAGGAAGAACACCCGUGGCGAAGGCGGCUCUCUGGGACGGUACUGACGCUGAGACGCGAAAGCGUGGGGAGCGAACAGG